UUGUUCAAAAAUAUUUUUGUAUGGCAGCAAUGAUUCCAGGUACGCCCCUAACAUGAAAGGUGUUAAAUGUUCUUACAGAAUGGGAGGUAUAAGGGGAAGUGUUUGCUCACUUUUGUCUUGCAGGGAGGCGUAGGAAUGUAUGGUUUAUUUUUAUGUACGGAGUGUUGUUUGCCUAUAAAUUGUUGUGCAUGUAUUCUCUGCAUUGCACUACACCUUGGCACACACAACCUGCCGCCGGACCUGGGCCGCAUAGGAUCACUUAGGAUGGUGUUGAGGUGGAUACCACUCCGACUACAA
rnacentral:lncRNA from 1 species